UAAAAUAAAAUGCGCGUUUGGAGAUGAUCACAUGCUUUUUCUUCUUGUAGUCUGUUUGUUGACAUGAUGAGCUAAAUUCACUGAUUUUCAAACGUUAAAAUAACUGCCUUUCCCAGGAGAAGCCCCACUUGGCCACGUAUUAUCCGUUUUAUGCAUUUUGGGAUUUGAUUUGCUAAAUGUUUGUUAAGAAUUUUUGCAUUUCUCUUUGUGGUGUUUCUUAUCUGUGCCCGGUUAUGGGAUUGGAGCGGUGCUGGCCUCAGAGAAUGAGCAGAAAACGCUUCGUCCUCUCCAAGCCCCCGUACACGAAGACGUUGCUCCUGGACGCCGUGAGGCUUUUCUCAGCAGCAAUCUCCAUUUCCGCCGCUGGCUGGAGAUCUCUGACCGGGACGCUCUGACGAGGUUGGCCCCCACCCCGAAAAGUCUCCCUAUCUUGAAGUCCGCGGAACAGGAACCUUCACGGCAGACGCCGAGCUGCUUCGUCCGGUUGACAGGAAACAGGGUCGUUGAUUGGAUUGGCGGAGCUAUUGGACUCUCCACAGCCUUCCUGACUUUCUACUUACUUCUCUCCAUGUCUGACAGAGAGUUGCUGAAAUCCUCCCAGAAUUGUGGAUUUGGGGACACCUGGGUGGCUCAGUAGGUCAAGUGAUGGCCUUUGGCUCAGGUCAUGAUCCUGGGGUCCUGGGAUUAAGCCUCGGGUCAGGCUCGUUGGGGAGUUUGCUCCCCCCUUCCUCUGCCCCUGUCCUCUGUUUAUGCACAAGGGUGCGCCGGCUUUUGAAUAAAUAAAUAAAAUCUUUAGAA